AACGAACGCUGGCGGCAUGCCUAACACAUGCAAGUCGAACGAGACCUUCGGGCUUAGUGGCGCAUGCGUGCGUGACGCGGGGGAACCUGCCCUUGAGUUUGGAAUAACUCCCCGAAAGGGGUCCUAAUACGGGCGCAUGUCCCCGAUCCAAAGAUUUAUCGCCUUUGGAUGAGCCCGCGUUGGAUUAGCUUGUUGGUAGGGUAAAAGCCUAUCAAGGCGACGAGGCAUAGCUGGUCAGAGAGGCAGAUCAGCCACACUGGUGCUGGGCCACGGCCCAGACUCCUACGCGAGGGAGCAGUGGGGGAUAUAGCACUGUGGGCGGAGGCCUGAUCCACCACGGACGCGUGAGUGAUGAAGGCCGUGGGGUUGUGAAGCUCUUUUACCCGGGGUGAUAAUGACAGUACCGGGAGAAUAAGCUCCGGCUAACUCCGUG
rnacentral:rRNA from 1 species